AGUUCUUAUCCUAGCCUAACUAUUUUGACUAUAAAUCAAAAAACUCCAAUUAAAACCAAUUAAAACAUUUUUUAUCUUUAGUAUACGUGAAAAAAAAAGAAACUAGAGCAAUAGUGACAGUACCGCAAGGGAAAGGUGAAAUAACAAUGAAAUAAUACUCAACAUAAAAAAGCAAAGAUUAAAUCUUAUACCUUUUGCAUCAUGGCCUAACAAGUCUAACCAGGCAAAAUGAAUUUUAGUCUGACUUCCCGAAACUAGGUGAGCUACUCCGAAGCGCAUAAACAACCCGUCUCUGUGGCAAAAGAGUGGGGAGACUUCCGAGUAGAGGCGAAAAACCUAUCGAACUUAGUGAUAGCUGGUUGCUCAAGAAAAGAAUUUUAGUUCUGUUUUAAAAAUUUUAAGCACUUAAAGCAUAUUUUUAAGAAUUAUUCAAUUAGGGUACAGCCUAAUUGAAAUAGGAUACAACCUAAAUUUUAGGAUAAUGAUUAAAUUUAAAAAAGUUAAAGGCUAAGUUGGCCUAAAAGCAGCCAUCUUUAAAAAAGCGUCAAAGCUUAACCUUAUAUCUUCUUUUAUUUUAUUUACUUUUCAAAAUCCAACAUCCUUACUGAGCUAUUCUAUAUCAUUAUAGAAGUAUUAAUGUUAGGACUAGUAAUAUAGAAUUAUUUCUCUUCCAUGUAAGUAAAAAUCAGUUCGAAUACUUCACUGAUAACUAAUCAGAUUUGAAUAUAAAGUAAUUUUGGAAUCUCCCAUGAGAAUACUACUUUUACUUCUGUUAAUCUUACACAAGAACAUGCAAGAAAGAUUUAAAGACUAAGAACGAACUCGGGCAAACACUAGUCUCGCCUGUUUACGAAAAACAUCGCCUUUUGAAAAUUAUAAAAGGUAACGCCUGCCCAGUGACAUCUGUUUAACCGCCCGCGGUAUUCUGACCGUGCGAAGGUAGCGUAAUCACUUGUCUUUUAAAUAAAGACUAGUAUGAAUGGCAUCACGAAGACUUAACUGUCUCCUUAGUCCUAUCCGUGAAACUGAUCUUCCCGUGCAAAAGCGGGAAUAAAAUCAUAAGACGAGAAGACCCUAUGGAGCUUAAAACUAAAACCUAGCUAUCCUAUCUAUUAAAAUUAACUAAUACUAUAUAUGUAUAGACUUAAUUAAAGUUUUCAGUUGGGGUGACUGUGGAGAAAAACUAAUCCUCCAUGUAGAAUUAAGCUUUGAAUCACCAUUCUUAGCAUUAGCAAGUCUAACUUUACUUGAUCCAAUAAUUUUGAUCAACGGACCAAGUUACCCUAGGGAUAACAGCGCAAUCCAUUUCAAGAGUCCAUAUCGACAAAUGGGUUUACGACCUCGAUGUUGGAUUAGGACACCCUAGUGGUGCAGCCGCUACUAAC
rnacentral:rRNA from 1 species